GCGGGAUAAGGAUGUGGAGCAGCACCUGCUCCUGGUAGAAAACCUGUUGCCAAGGUAGUAAACGUUGAGAAGGAAGCCAAGGUGAUUAUCAGACUCACAAGGAGGAACAAACGCAUGACUGGGCACACUUGAAAUUUUGUGCCUGUCCUGAUACAAGUUCAAAGCAUCUGCCUAUAUGCUGACGCUCAUCCUAGGAUCCAUGGAUCAGCCACGUCACGGAGGACCUUCGAUCUUUGUUGUGACAUGCAAACUCCUAGUUGUGGCACGUGGGAUCCAAUUCUCUGACCAGGUACCAAACCCGGGGCCCCUGCAUUGGGAGCACAGAGAGUCCCAGCCACUGGACCACCAGGGAAGUCCCUCUGUUAGACUUCUUAAAAUUACAAAGAAGUUGUGCU